rnacentral:lncRNA from 1 species
GUUAGGGCCGCACCUGCAACAUAUGGAGGUUCCCAGGGUAGGGGUCCAAUUGGAGCUACAGCUGCCAGCUUACGCCACAGCAAUGCAGGAUCUGAGCCGAGUCUACGACCUACACCAUGGCUCGCAGCAACACCAGAUCCUGAACCCACUGAGUGAGGCCAGGAAUCGAACCUGCAACCUCAUGGUUCCUAGUUGGAUUCAUUUCUGCUGCUCCACGGUGGGAACUUGUUUUAUUUUUUUUUAAUGGCCACACCCACGACAUAUGUAAGUUCCCAGGUCACGGAUGGAAUUUGAGCCACAGCUGUGACUUACACUGCAGGUGCAGCAACCCAGGACCCUUUUUAACCCACUGUGCCAGCCUGGGGAUUGAACCCACUCCUCCACAGGGACUGAGCUGCUGCUGUCGGAUUCUUAACCUUCUGUGCCUUGGCAGGAACAUCUCCCAUUUCCUAUUUAUAGGAAAAAGGCUUCAGGCUACUAGACCUUCCCUGAGUUCCAAAGGGUAGAUUCAAACAGUUACUAAUUAGGGAAGUUUGGGAUUGCAGAAACGAAGGAAAAUCAGUCAAGAAAUAAUACUGCAACAAUAAAUCAGAGUUCUAGUUCCUUCUCAAGGGAUAUAUAUAUAACAUAUAUCCUUGAGUUCUUCUUUAGGGACCAAGGACUCCACUCAGAUGGAGGAUGGUAACUUCAGACUGAGCACUAGAUUCCUGGUGUACUGCUUGUACUUCACCAACCAAUCAGAAUAAAAUCAGACACCCUGCAGCCUUCACUCCAAAUUUUGCUUUUAAAAACUCUUUUCUGAGACCUGUCAGGGAGUUCAGGUCUUUUGAGCAUAAGCCACCAAUUCUCCUUACUUGGCCUUUAACAACAGAGCAUUCUAUACUCCAAACGCUGACAUUUCAGUUUGUUUGGACUGUAUGUCAGAUUCAUGAACUUGAGUUUGACAACAACAGGACUUUCUGAGAUUUGUUAUAAUAAAAACAAUAUAACAUUUUGAAGAGUAGCAGAAUAUGUCAUCCCAGAAUAUGCUUCUUUCGCAUAAGUAUUAUGUUGAACUAUUUUUUUUUUUCUUUUUUGGUCACCUCACGGCAUAUGGAGUUCCCAGGCCAGGGAUAAGAUCCGAGCCACAGUUUCGACCUACACCAUAGCUGUGGCAAUGCCAGAUCCUCUAACCCACUGUGGGGGGCCGGGGAUCAAACCUGCAUCCUGACACUGCAGAGACACUGUUGCUGAUCCCGUAGCACCACAGCAGGAACUCCUGGUUAUUUUUAAGAAACUGUAGAUGUAGGAAGACCUCUAAAAACAGAGUAAAGGAAGUUCCUUAGUGGUCUAGUGCUUCAAAUUUAGUGCUUCCACUGCUACGGCUUGAGUUCAAUCCGUGGUCUGAGAACUAAGAGCCUACUUCAAACCACUGCACUCUGCUAUCCUCCCCCCCCACCCCAAAAAAGGUAGAAACACCCUUUUGUAAAGGAAAUCUACAUUUAUAAAGGAAAUCUACAUUAGAAAAAGCCGAAAGGGACCCUUUAGUAAGCUGCACUGUUUGCUUCUGAGGCUCAGAUCGGGUGUUGUCUCAGUUGUAGCUGCACUGACCCCUAGCUGGGAAUUUCUACAUACCCUAGAUGUGGCCAUAAAAAGCAGGUGGGGGAGCUAUACCAGGAAGACAGCUAUUAUUAGAGAUAAUCUUUUCACGCGAGAGACUUGUCUGCAAAGGGAAAACUUUAUUUACCACUUUCUCAACUAAUGAAGAAUUAACUAUUCCUUUUUGAAGCCCCCAUCCCUAAACUUUUUCUUAGCUUAUGAUAGUAUAUUAACCUCAAUCCUCUAGUCGCCUUUUGAGUCUCAUAUCUCCAAGGAGGUCCCAUAAGUAUAUAAUUAUUUUUUUUCCUCCUGUCUCCUUACUCCAGGCCCCUAAACUUUGGCUCACCAUCAGCCUAAGCCAGUAUUACACACUCCCUCAUGAGAAUAAACUGGCCUCAGCAUAAAAUCAAAUAUUCUCUGGUCAACUACCUGAACAUGCCACCCAGUCACACACCCACUUCCCCACACUUAGUUUACUCUUGUCUUUUUGCCUAACUCUUGAGCCGCUUCCAGAUCUUGUGGUCAAAGCAUUCUCCUUUUGGCAAUAACCUCCUUCUCCAAUUUACAGUAGUUCCUUUCCCUCUUUUGGAAUAAUCCUUAGGAAUACAAUCUCUCCUUCACUAAAUCCAGAUUUGAUUUUUAUUCCAGUCUCAUCAGUGAUUUCUCUUGCUAUUACCUACCCCGUGACAUCUCAAAUAUAGGGCUUUAUGUUUUAUGGUUAACCUUGAGUUAACAAUCAGGAUAAAAUAAUGAGAUGGGUUAUUGCUGUCCCAACUGAGGUCAUCACAGACCAGCCAAUCUAGCACACACAGGAGAGAGUCCAAGUGAGACCUGAAGAAUUUUCCAGCGUAGCUGAGUAGAAAUUGCCAACCUGCAUAGUCAUGAACUCAAGUGAUUAUUAAUGGUGUUGGUGGUGUUUCAAGCCUCUAAUGUCUGUGAGGAUUCAGAUUCCAUCUCUGACCUAAGCUGUGGCAUAAGUUGAAGAUGUGGCUUGGAGCCCUGUGUUGCUGUGGCUAUGGCGAAGGCUGGCAUCUGCAACACAGAUUAGACUCCUAGCCUGAGAACUUCUACAUGCUGCAGAUGCAGUCUUAAAAAAAAAAAGGAAUGAAUGAAGGAAUGAAUAGCAUCAAUCUAGAUAUUGUAUUCCUUCUCAAAUAGAAAGAAAGCAAACAACGACUUCUAAAACAGAUUGUAACUGGAGCUUCUGUUCUAAGAUGAUAUUAAUACAUGAACUAACGAGGAUGAAAAUAUGACUUUUGAGUGUAUUUUUGAAACUUCAAACCUCAGUUGCUAUGGGGGUGUUUGGAAGUAUAUCAAAUAUAUCACCCACCAAAAAUACAGAGUCAUGAUAUUUAGAGGAUAUUAGUGAGUUCCUGUGAGUGAUGCAUUCACCCUAAGCUAGAAAAUACCUUCAUGAUAUUGUUAAAAACUCAAAAUCACAAAGGAAGUUGGAUUAAUCUUUAAGGUAUCUUUAAAAUAUGGAAACAUCUUUUUUUUUUUUUUUCCCUUCUGUUUCUUUUCAGAGCCUCACCUUUGGCAUAUGGAAGUUCCUGGGCUAGGGGUCAAAUCAGAGCUGCAGCUGUGCUGCCAGCCUACACCAUAGCCACAGCAACGUGGGAUCCAAGCCGCAUCUGGCACCUAUUCUGCAGCUUGCAGGAACGCCAGAUCCUUAACCCACUGAGUGAGGCCAGGGAUAGAACACACACGUGUCCUCAGGGAACUGUGUUGGGUUCUUAACCCCGGCCAAGCUACAACAGGAACUCCUAAAAUGUGGGAACAUCUUAAUUCAACAUCUAUUUGGUAAGAAUAUACGAGUAAAUAAUCAGGAAAGGAGUUUCUGCUGUGACACAAGGGGAUGGGUGGUGUCUCUGCAGUGCCAGGACACAGGUUUGAUCCCCAGCCCUGCACCGUGGGUUAAAGGAUUCUGCCCAGCUGCAGCUUAAGUGUCAGAUGUGACUUGGAUCUAAUCCCUGGCCCAGGAACUCUAUAUGUCUUGGGGUGGCCAAAAAAUUAAAAAAAUAAUAAUAAUCACAUAAAACAUUGAGACACCACAUGUUAGAAUAAUGAGUGAUAUGGGAAUAGGCAUAUCAGAUUUCCAAGAACCACUUUCCCUUUAUGAACACUGCAUUAUACAGUCUAUGAAAAUUUGCUUUGGUAGCUGAUUAAGACAGAUGUAUUAUAUGCAACACUAUAGGCUAAUAGAAAUAAAUGCUUACAAAGUUCUGAAGGGAAACUAUGUUGAACCUAAAGUUUUUGAACCAGCCAAAUUAUUAGUUAAGUGUGAGGGCAAAGAAAAAUAUUUUCAUACAACAAAGUAUGUGAAAUGCUUACCACCUAUUGUAGAUAUUGAUGGUGCCUGACCUAGAUUCCUUUAACCUGACACAAAUUUGCCGAGUAUUGGAUGCUAAUGCCUUCUUCUCUAGAGAAUUGCCGAUUGCCCUUGUGUAUCCUGAAGGUAGGAGCAAGGGCUCUGGAAAAUUGCUCUUGUGUGUACUGGAAAGUUAGCCUUCCUAACCUGCUCCUAUCCCUCCACUUCUCCUCCCACCCUGGCAGCCAAUGGCCAAAUGACUGACACAAGAGUAAACAAAAAUCCAUCCUCCUUGGAACCAGCUUAGCAGUGUAGUUGAUGCUCCUGGUCCCCCUGGGGGACUAGACUGAAAGCAGCCCUUGGCUGAGACCUCAUCCUUCCCUAGUUUUUUUCCCCCUACCUUAGCCUGCUUGCCUCACUCUUCUUUUAAGAGCAAACUCCCAUUCAAUCAUUUUCAUAAGAAUUCCCAUUUCAGACUCUGUUUCUAGGGAACACAACCUCAUGAUCUUGCCAAAAAAAAAAAAAAAAAA